UUGUCAGGAGGUUAAUCCUUACCUGUUCUUCCUCUCAGAGGGCAGUAGAACAUGAUUGGAGCUCGCAUGAUCUGCUGAUUAGCAUUUCCCUGUAAUCAGGACCUGACAACAUCUUGAUUGACAAAAAAAAAA